rnacentral:rRNA from 1 species
AGGGGCGGGUUAGGAGGCGUAGUGACUGCGGAGGAUCAUUACUGUGAAUAUAACUUCCACACAUGCGUGAGCGCACAAAACACACAAACCGUGAGUAUUUCUAGUCGAAAACAAAACAAAAAAUACAAAACUUUCAACAACGGAUCUCUUGGUUCUCGCAUCGAUGAAGAGCGCAGCGAAAUGCGAUACCUAGUGUGAAUUGCAGCCAUCGUGAAUCAUCGAGUUCUUGAACGCACAUUGCGCCCGUCGGUAUUCCGGCGGGCAUGCCUGUCUGAGCGUCGUUUCCUUCUUGAAGCUUUUUUUUUUUUAAAAAAAGAUUCAAAAUUGGCCGUGCCACUGGCCCGGCCGAAAAGAAACGUUGCGGACGAAGCGAACUACAUCGGGACGCUUUUGCCGCCGAGCGAAAAUAUAUCAUUGAGCUCGACCUCAGAUCAGGUAGGAGUACCCGCUGAACUUAAGCAUAUCAAUAAGCGGAGGAAAAGAAACCAACAGGGAUUGCCCCAGUAGCGGCGAGUGAAGCGGCAAGAGCUCAGAUUUGAAAUCGUGUUUCGGCACGAGUUGUAGAGUGUAGGCGGGAGUCUCUGUGGAGCGCGGUGUCCAAGUCCCUUGGAACAGGGUGCCUGAGAGGGUGAGAGCCCCGUAGGGUGCUGCGCGAAGCUUUUGAGGCCCUGCUGACGAGUCGAGUUGUUUGGGAAUGCAGCUCCAAGCGGGUGGUAAAUUCCAUCUAAGGCUAAAUAUUGGCGAGAGACCGAUAGCGAACAAGUACUGUGAAGGAAAGAUGAAAAGCACUUUGAAAAGAGAGUGAAACAGCACGUGAAAUUGUUGAAAGGGAAGGGUAUUGGGCUCGACAUGGGGGGUGCGCACCGCUGUCUCUUGUAGGCGGCGCUCUGGGCGCCCUCUGGGCCAGCAUCGGUUCCUGCUGCGGGAGAAGGGGCUCCGGAAAGUGGCUCUUCGGAGUGUUAUAGCCGGGGCCAGAUGCCGCGUGUGGGGACCGAGGACUGCGGCUUCUGUCUCGGAUGCUGCUCGGGGGGCGCGUUGGAAUCCCAUCGCG